rnacentral:lncRNA from 1 species
UUCUAAUAAGCGACAAAAAUAAUUAACAAAAUAUAUUUGUUUAAAUAUCGAAAAAGAUUCAAUUGCUUGUAAAACUUAAUCAAACCUCUGCGAAGUAGGAGGAACUCAAUGACAAGAUUCAAGAAGCUACCUGGGCAGACUGGCGGAGCCGCGGAGGUGGACACUGGACGUCUGGACAGUGGACUGUGGUGAGACGUCGAGUGACCGGACGGAGCGACGAAUAGGCCUUAGCACCGAACCGGAGGGUUAUUUCUCUGUUGUUCUUUCUGGAGGUACCCUUAGCACCGGACCGAAGAGCACCGAGCACGUCAACGGCGAGACUCAAGAGGAGCAGACGAGCAGUUGGAGUUGCAGCCCUAAAUCGUCCCUUUCAUAUUUCAAAUUUGGGAAUUUGGGUAAAUGGGUUGUAAAAUUGGAUUUGGGUAUAUGAGUUGGGUUGAAAUUUUAGGUUAAAUGGAUUGUGGGUUGUUGGGUAAUGAGUUCUGGGCCGGAUCAUAUUAUUAAAAAAAAAAAAUUGGAGGCAAAAAUGGGCCCCUUAAUGGUCAUGAGCCUGAGGCGCGGGCCUCACUGGCCUCGGCCCAGGACCGGGCCUGCACCCACCCAAUGUCAACGCCGAUAAAAAAGAUGCACCAGCCAUUGCACAACAAACUCCCACCAUUGAAAAGUAUAUAGGCAGCAUCUUGCUAUGCGAUUCCCAAAUUGAUGCCUCGACGGCGAAAGAGAUUGAACCCACUAACACACCAGAUCACACCCAUCAAUAAGAGAUUAAACCUACUAACACACUAGAUCUUCCCCCCAUUAGCCGCCAUCAACGGUGGAAGAGAUAGAAACACAAUCGUCACAGCCAAAGCAAGAACCCGCUAACACCACCACCACAGUCCUACAGCAAGAACCCACUUACACCACCUACUGGAGAAGAAGCAGAAAAUAACUGGUCGAAUUGAGGUAAGGCGAGCGCGCGAAGGGCUUGCCAGAGAAGACUAGAAAUUCAUAUCGUGCCAAUUUCCAAUUCCCCAUUGACCACCUCAACCUCUAGCCCUUCCACUGCCUCAAAACUAGGCAACACCACCUCAACUCAGCAGAAAAUCGCAAAUCCAACCAAUAAUAAAAUUAAACAGUGCUCAAAACCUAAAUCUAAAAACCUUUUGAGGUGGUAGUGUUGAUUUUGAGGAUAUGUUCAAGGAUGAUGUUGAUUUUGAAGCAUUCACUCUCGUUUUUGUAAUGCCAUGACCAACAUUGCCUUGGCUUCACAAUGUGAGCAUUUGAUCGUAACACAAUUAACAUUUCCUUCUUUUGAGCUAGUGGUGCCUGGUUUCGAGUUGGUUGAGGGGCCAGAGGUUGUACCGACUGUGGAGGUGGAAGGUGACGGUGGCUUUUGGAUUUGGUUCUGGGGUUAGGGUGGAAGGGAAUGGUAG